AUCCGCUAAAAGACUGAAUGAUGGAGUCGUGGCCUGGGAGACAGGGGCAAUAUUGUUAUUACUCCAAGUUUGGUACUGUUCCUGGAAGAAGUUGUACACAUAACUAUCAUGAGCGACACCAGACACCUCACUAUCCUGUGCGCUAUGAUGAGCUGCAACAGAACCAAAGCAGGGAUUGCAGUCACUGGACAGUCCCAGGGUCACGAGCUGGUGCAGCACUACACGAACACGCUAACUGGACUGACGCCGACCUGAUUUUCCCCUCAACAUCCCCUUCUUCCCAUUUUCCAUUCACUCUAGACCGCCACCAUCGUCAAGACGUGCGAGGAUAUAGGACACAUGAAGUUCCAGAGUGGACAGCUGCUUGGCCAGCUACCAGAGACCAUGAUAAAGGACUUCUCAGAGAAGAGUGGCAGAAGAAGUGGGAUCUUUCAAACCAAGUCCCCUGCAACAGAGACACUUUAGGAACAAGGAGCGAAAGCAAUUACAGAGAGCUGGAGGCUUGGGCCACCCGCUACAGACAUUCACUGCCCAGGAGGAGACGUAUUGAGGCAGAGUUAAGGGGAGCGUCCCAAAGAACUGUGGACGAUAGCAGAACCGACCACCAGAUGACAACAAUGCAACACACCAAAAAAUCUCCAAUCAACAGAGAGUUUGGACUGUAUCCAUCAAAAGCUCCAACAUCUAACACAAGCCACAUGAUGGGCAUGAAGGAAAACACUGGUUAUCUGAGAAUGAUGUUCAACCAACCUCCUGGCUACACUGCACCUCCUCCCUACAACAGCCAACACAAGGUUUCUCCUGUCUACCAUUAUCGCCCUUCUAACUGGGAAAAGGAUGGUAAAAGACCUGUUUCCCGUUCCUGGUCACAUUUCUCUAUGAGGCUGCAUGAUGGCCCCACAGACAAUAGAAUUGGAGAGAAAGAAGGAUUCAAAAUGUCUGAUGAGAGUCAAAGUAACACAAAGCUCAAAGGAUUAAAGGCCCAAAGAGAGGACGCUAACACACUACAGACAGGAAGUCCCAUCAGUGUCCUGAAUACACAGAGGAGGCUUGAACACAUGCAGCCUCAGCAGUAUUCAUCAGAGAAACCAAAAACAAUAGGGGAAACAUUAUCAAGGGUCAUCGAAGGGAGGAAGUUCAAAUUAGAGAAGAAGACAGGUGGCAUGACAAUAUUCUGCCUCGUGUCUCGAAUGGCUGCCAACACUGAAACACCAUCUUUGCUAUAUUCCAAAACAAAUCCUGAAAGUGCAGAAACAGAAUAUGUUCCUCAAACUCAGAGGCUCAGCACUCCAACACACAAACUGGCAGACGAAGUAGAUUUCACUGCAUCAACACUCACAGACCAGACACAAGUCUUUAAUGUGAAAAAUCUCUCAGACGGUCAGAAAGAGAGCCUGACUCCAAUGAGCAAGAAGCAAGAAGAUGAUGUUUUAUCUAGCAAAGCAUGUGCACAGAAUGAAGCUGAAAUGAAUAGAAAGGAUGAGUGGGAGCAGCCCGUAUCAACCAAAUAUCCUCUAUGGAGGGAGCCACGCUACACAAGCAGGACAGAAAAAGUCAACAAAGACGUUUCCGAUGGUGGAGAACAUGUGUGUGUUCAGGUAGUCAGUCAACCAGUAGAUUCAGAAAUAAGUAAACAUGACAUCAAAGAAAAAGCCGAUGAUAAAAAGGGUCUACUGGUCACUGACACAACAUGUGUGCUAGUUAAAAUGGAGCUGAUACAAUCUCCAAACAAAGAACAUGUCCUCUAUUUAGGGUCUCCGGGAGGUGACCAUCGCAUCCUGCUUGAUGAUCAGACUGUUGAGUCCAAGUGUCCUCUAAGGGAGACAACAGAUGAAGAUACACAAACAAACCCAAGCCCUGAGGCCAAAAACAACAAUCAAAUUUCUCCUGGGCAAGAGGAACACAUAACGGAAGAGAAAGAGGAUAAUGUGAUGUCAUCUCCAGAAUCCGAAAGUGAGACAUUUGAGGAGCGAGCUGAAAGAAUUCUAGGAAUCCCUCUCAAUCUCUGCACCAAAAAGCUUGAAGCCGAGCGUCUGAUAGCAGUAAAUGAUUUAAAUGCUAAGAAAAAGGAGGCUGGUUCUUCUGAGCAAAGCAUUACAGAGGAGGAACAGUCACAGAGUCACCAACAAGUCAUCCAAUCCAACAAAUCUGUCAGGUUGACAGAGAAUGACCACAGAGUUGAGAUGAUAGAUAAUGAUGGAGAAAAUGCUCUUGCGUCUCACAGCAAAGGUGCACAGAGUAGUGGAGAGGAGGAGGCAAGUAUGGACUUAACCCAUCUGGCAACGACUGAUCACUGUGUGCUCGAAUCCCCAUGUGACAAUAAUAAUCAUGUAGAGAAUGAUGAGGAACAUCAAACAGAAGAUGAUGGAGAGGAAUGUGCAGAGAUGGCACGACUGGUUACAGCUGAACGUGUUUUCCUUCCUCAGCUGACAUCUCCAAAAUCAGUUGACUGUUCUUCAGUUUCCACUUCUCAUACGGACUCUUCCUCAAGUUCUCCUCCUCCUUUAGAUUCAAAUAGUCAAUCUGCUAAAGUUUUGUGCGACAUCGAGAGCCAAGAUGAAGAACUCAUCACUGACUCUGUUUACUUAAACAAGACUGACGAAGUGUUUGCAAUUGCAAUGCAGCAGCUGAAUGACUGUCAGCCAGAUGAUGCUGUCAGUGAUCUUUUUGAGCCACAAUCUGAAGAAGCUUUGAAGGAAAAUUUUGGAGCUGCUGAAGAAGAACCUUUCAGUGCUACCACACUGCAACAACUGUUUGAAUCUGUCAAUAUGGAUGACGGUGAUGAUGACGAACCGAAGACAAGAGACACAACUGAGCAACAGUCACCCACAGAGGGAUCCCAGGAACCUUUGGGCAUUCUGUCCCAUUGCACUGAAUAUGGUGAAGAAGAAAAAAAAUGUGAAAUAGAGGUAAAAACAUGUGAAGAGAAGGCUGGAAACACAACAGCAAAUGUUCAAUCUCAAGAAAACCAUGAAGAACUUUUAACAAGUUAUGGGGCUUCCACUGAAGCCCAAAACAACACUACAGAUACUGAGACAGAUGCUGAGCACUCACUGGAUCUGUCAGCUUCAGACUGUGAGGAACCUCAGCCAACUUCAGAUGAGCUCACAUGUCCUGAGCUUGUAUCUCCAGACUCUGUCUCCUUUUUGGCCUUAGCUCCUGCUUCAUCUCCCAAUCCUGGAUCUGCUUGUGGUGUCCCUCAGAAGGACCCAUCUUUGCUUUGUGAGCCACUUCACUUUUCAGUCCUAGACCAGGUCUUCUGCUCCACAUCCCCUGAUGAAGAACACACUUGCCAUGACGAAGCUCAUAAAGUCCAUCUCCAGCAUCCACAGUCACUGAGGGAGGUGGUGAGUCGCAUUAGGAAACACACAGCUCCAGACUCUGAGAAUGAAGAGGAGGAAGUGAGCGAGCCGUGGGACCCAGAGAACCUGCACCCGGUCCUGCUGUUUACAGAUGUUCUCAUGGACUGUAGUGAACGUGUUGAUGAGGACAGGCUGUCCUGUAGCAGCAUCAGCAGCCACAGCUCUGGGGACACUGUUAUUGUAGCAGAGGAGACAGCACGGUACGUUGGGGAACCAUCGGAAGUAGAAACAGAGGUAGAAGUGUUCGACAAAGCUGAAGAUCUUUGCUGCUGUGGUGAAAACACAGCAGAAGAUAAGCAGGAGGACAAUAAGAUGACAGACAUGAGUGAGUCAAGUCUGAGCGAGGAGUGAAGAGAACACGAGAAGACAGAAACAUGAAGACUGUGUUUUUCCUGCUUUAAGGGCAGAUUAAUAUAUUUACUUGAAGUUGUUUCUGAUCAAAUCAGCUCUAUAAGAAACUUUGUUAAUUUUUCACAUAUAGAUUUUUCCUUCCCGUCUGAUAAGAUGUGUUGCAGAGAAGUUAAUGCUUCUAAGGUGACUAGAAACGCUAAUGUUUUUGUUUGACUCUAGUGAUGGACUGGAAACUGGUCCAGGGGUGUACCCUGUGUGUUUCUGUCAGCCCCCCUCAGAAUAAGCAUGUAGUCUGAGGGCGUGCUUUUUAUAUUAGGCAGGUUUUUGUAGCAUUUAUCUUUCACAGGGUGAUGUACUAAAAUAUUUCCUAGCUCUACAUUUUGAUGGAUUGUUUUCAAAACUAUUACCAGUAGAGAUUGACUUCGUUUGGUGUUACAGAGACAUUCAUGGCAGAAUAUUGUAUAUAAAUAAAAUUCUGAAGUGUCUUAAAACUGUUCA
ensembl:lncRNA uncharacterized LOC114463568